rnacentral:rRNA from 1 species
GAUGAACGCUAGCGAUAGGCUUAACACAUGCAAGUCGAGGGGCAGCACAAGGUAGCUUGCUCUCUGGGUGGCGACCGGCGCACGGGUGCGUAACGCGUAUGCAACUUGCCCUAUACAGGAGGAUAACCCGUCGAAAGACGGACUAAUACUGCGUAUGCUCACAACUUGGCAUCAAGUGGUGAGGAAAGAAAUUCGGUAUAGGAUAGGCAUGCGUCCCAUUAGCUUGUUGGUGAGGUAACGGCUCACCAAGGCAACGAUGGGUAGGGGAACUGAGAGGUUUAUCCCCCACACUGGUACUGAGACACGGACCAGACUCCUACGGGAGGCAGCAGUGAGGAAUAUUGGUCGAUGGGCGCGAGCCUGAACCAGCCAAGUCGCGUGAAGGAUGACUGUCUUAUGGAUUGUAAACUUCUUUUAUACGGGAAUAACAAGAGUCACGUGUGACUCCCUGCAUGUACCGUAUGAAUAAGCAUCGGCUAACUCCGUG